rnacentral:rRNA from 1 species
ACCCCUACGGGGGGCAGCAGUGAGGAAUAUUGGACAAUGGGGGCAACCCUGAUCCAGCCAUGCCGCGUGAGUGAAGAAGGCCUUAGGGUUGUAAAGCUCUUUCAGAUGUGAAGAUGAUGACGGUAACAUCAGAAGAAGCUCCGGCUAACUUCGUGCCAGCAGCCGCGGUAA